AAAUAACAGACAUAAGAACGAAUCACGAAUAGAUAAUGAU
rnacentral:guide_RNA from 1 species